rnacentral:lncRNA from 1 species
GUGCUAUCACAGCUCACUGCAGCCUUGAACUCCUGGGCUAAGGAUCCUCCUACCUGAGCCUCCUGAGUAGCUAGGACUGGUCUCCCUCUGUUGUCCAAGGCUGGAGUGUAGUAGUGCUAUCACAGCUGACUGCAGCCUCAACCUUCCAGGCUGAAGUGAUUCUCCCAUCUCAACCUCCCACGUGGCUGAGACUACAGGUGCUUGCCACUAUGCCCAACUAAUAUUUGGAAUUUUCAUAUAAGUGGAUUCCAGAGUGGUGACAGCAAAACUGACCUCACAAUGACUCAAGCUACCACUUACUGUUGAUUGUGACGAAAUGCCAGCUGAGGCACAUGCCUUGGGAGCUAAGUGGUUACUGCACUUGACCACUAUGAAGACUGGUGUGGGAAGGGUCGCUUUGGAUGCACUUGAGCAGGGCUCCCCAACCCCUGAGCCAUGGAGCCGUAAGGAGCCACACAGCAGGAGGUGGGACCAUCCAGUUGCAGGAAAACAAGCUUAACAUGCCCACUGAUUCUACAUUAUGCUCCUACCUCCCGGCAGCCUCUCCAGGCCCAGAACUUUCUCCAGUCAGCCUCUACAGACCAAGCUCAUGACUCACAAUGGCCUAUUUAGGCCCAUACCCUACCUCACGGCAGUCUCCGCAGAUGAGCCUACUGCCUCACAACAGCCUCCACAGGCACAGCUCCAUCGUUACAAUGGCCUCUUUAGACCCAGCUCCUGCCUCCCAGCCUUCUCUCUAGGCCCUGAACUUUCUGAAGUCGACCUCACCA